GACGAACGCUGGCGGCGUGCUUAACACAUGCAAGUCGAACGGAAAGGCCCUGCUUUUGUGGGGUGCUCGAGUGGCGAACGGGUGAGUAACACGUGAGUAACCUGCCCUUGACUUUGGGAUAACUUCAGGAAACUGGGGCUAAUACCGGAUAUGAGCUCCUGCUGCAUGGGGGGGGUUGGAAAGUUUCGGCGGUUGGGGAUGGACUCGCGGCUUAUCAGCUUGUUGGUUGGGUAGUGGCUUACCAAGGCUUUGACGGGUAGCCGGCCUGAGAGGGUGACCGGCCACAUUGGGACUGAGCUACGGCCCAGACUCCUACGGGAGGCAGCAGUGGGGAAUAUUGCACAAUGGGCGGAAGCCUGAUGCAGCAACGCCGCGUGCGGGAUGACGGCCUUCGGGUUGUAAACCGCUUUCGCCUCUGACGAAGCGUGAGUGACGGUAAUGGGUAAAGAAGCACCGGCUAACUACGUG
rnacentral:rRNA from 1 species